rnacentral:rRNA from 1 species
AGUGAACGCUGGCGGCAGGCCUAACACAUGCAAGUCGAACGGCAGCACAGUAAGAGCUUGCUCUUACGGGUGGCGAGUGGCGGACGGGUGAGGUAUACAUCGGAAUCUACUUUUUCGUGGGGGAUAACGUAGGGAAACUUACGCUAAUACCGCAUACCACCUACGGGUGAAAGCAGGGGAUCUUCGGACCUUGUGCGAUUGAAUGAGCCGAUGUCGGUUUAGCUAGUUUGCGGGGUAAAGGCCCACCAAGGCGACGAUCCGUUGCUGGUCUGAAUGAAUGACCAGCUACAGGAGAACUUGGACGCAGUCCGGACACCUACGGAAAGCAGCAGCAGUGAAAGUUAGACAAUAGGCGCGAGCCUGAUCCACCCAUACCGCGUGGGUGAAGAAGGCCUUCGGGUUGUAAAGCCCUUCUGUUGGGAAAGAAAAGCAGCAGGUUAAUACCCAGCUGUUCUGACGGUAACCAAAGAAUAAGCACCGGCUAACUACGUG